rnacentral:lncRNA from 1 species
UAUCUCUGAAACUAAAGGAUUUAGAGCAAAUCUGUCAAAGGGAAAACAUGUUUAAAAGGUCAAUUUCUUUCAUUCCUGAAAGUUUCAGACAAACCGAACAACCCAUUUUGGGUUGCUGCCACUAAAUUGGUUAUUUUAAGGAAAUUGUGCAGUUUUUGGUUAUAAUCUUGAAUAUUAUUGAAGAUCAAGAUAAACUGUAAACAGCAAACAUAAUGAGCAGAGUAAGAUCUACAAAAAGUGUAUUAUGACUAAAAUUAUCAAUCGACC